rnacentral:rRNA from 1 species
AACGAACGCUGGCGGCAGGCCUAACACAUGCAAGUCGAACGGAACCUCCGGGUUUAGUGGCGCACGGGUGAGGAACGCGUGGGAAUAUACCCUUGAGUAAGGAAUAAUGUCUGGAAACGGACACUAAUACCUUAUAAUGACUUCGGUCCAAAGAUUUAUCGCUCAAGGAUUAGCCCGCGUAUGAUUAGAUUGUUGGUGAGGUAACGGCUCACCAAGUCUGCGAUCAUUAGGGGGUCUGAGAGGAUGAUCCCCCACACUGGUACUGAGACACGGACCAGACUCCUACGGGAGGCAGCAGUGAGGAAUAUUGCGCAAUGGAGGAAACUCUGACGCAGCCAUGCCGCGUGAGUGAAGAAGGCCUUAGGGUUGUAAAGCUCUUUCAAUAGUGAAGAUUAUGACGGUAACUAUAGAAGAAGCCCCGGCUAAAUUCG